rnacentral:rRNA from 1 species
GAGAGUCCUGAAGGAACGUUGAAGACGACGACGUUGAUAGGCCGGGUGUGUAAGCGCAGCGAUGCGUUGAGCUAACCGGUACUAAUGAACCGUGAGGCUUAACCUUAC